GACCUAUUUUGUCGCAGCAGCUGACGCGUGGAGACCGUCCAUUAUAUUAUAUUGUAACAUUUUUGAAUUAACUACUAAUCAUUCGGAGCGUUCGGAACGCUGAGCCUUCUGUGUGUAACAUGGUUCUGACUAACGUCGAUUUAGGUACAAUUAACUUACAACAAUAAGCACUUGUGUAAUAAAUACACGUAUUUUUGUACUUA